rnacentral:lncRNA from 1 species
CGCCCUGUGUCCCUCGUGGGGGAGACACGGAAGGUUCUGCUUACCUGUAGCCUCGCAUAGCCGCUGCUCAGCCUUCCUCCUGGGCCACUCAGUGCCGGCAGGUUGUGCAGUCAGUGUGGUGGCCGGCUGGCUGGCCGGAAUCCUGCUGGACACUCACAUAAGUGCCAGACAUGUUUUCCCAAGCCCAGGGGGACAAGUUACUCCUUGGUGACUGGGCUGGUGCAGAUCUACCCCUGGCAUGGCAGCCUGUUAUGGGGACCAGCGACACAGUCAAGCGGACUGCAGGCUGCUCCCUGUGAGUGCAAGUCAGUCUCCAC